CUGCAGUGUCCUAGGCAGCCACCUGGGGCCCGGUCACAUGGAAGUCAGAUGUGGGCCUGGGCCGCCGUGCAGCGAUGGCUGUGCCAGCCGUCUGCCUUGCCUCUCACCUCCACCCCACCACAUCGGCCACUCUGCCCUGGGGCUGGGACUGACCCUUCACCCUUGCUCCCAGGCUUCCGACCACUGCCCUCUGGUUGGGUCCGGUCAAGGGAGCCCCUGGCCGCAGCCCAGAGGGAUUGGGGGCCUGGACCCCUCCACAUCUGUCUUGGGUGGCAUUUCUUCACCUCGGCUCCCGCUGGCAGGUGCCUCCUUCUUGAUCCUCCUUUUCUAGGAAGCCUGGCCUGACUCUGCGUCCCCAACUCCAGCUUCACCCCGGCAGCCUUAGGACAUGGCAGCGGCCUCCUGCCGUGGGCCACGGAUUCCCGCACCGCCUCGGUCACCCGGUCUUCAGGCGCGGCCCCUGUCGAGUCACCCGACAGACUCGUAGCGGUCGCUGUUUCCUGACUCCCUGCUGUGCGGCUAAAUGAGUUAGACGAAUCUGUUCUCUCCUGAACUUGGCGGAGCUCCUCGGCACCCCACACUGUUCUGGGGACUUGGGCUGCCUCGGAGGAAAAAGAAAACAGAUGUCACCAUGCCCUGUGGAGCCUGCGUCCUAGUGCGGAUGUGGCAGUCGGUCCACGGGAUGCACGCGGGACCCCAGGUGAAGGUACGGGGACUUCUGGGCAGCAAGUGAUCGGGGAUCGUUAGGAUUCAGCCAUGUUGAGUGUGAGAAGCCUCUGGGACAGCCGGGUGGAGAUGUUGGGGCCUCCGGACUCACGGCCUGGGAGUCGGCGGCAGGAGGGUGGCCAGUGGUCAUCAGCACAGGCGGCUCGAGAGGCCAGGGCCGGACAGAGCAGGUGUCAAGCCUCGGAGCAGAGGACCCAGAGGGCAGGCACAGCCACAGGCCUGGGAGCCGGGGAGCACAGAGCCCUGGACACACACCGGAGCACGUUGCAGAAAGGAAGGGCUGGUCAUGUGUGUGUAGCGUGUCUGUGAGUGUCUGCGUGUGUCUCUGUGACCAUGUGUCUCUGUAAGGGAUUCUGUGUAUUUCUGUGUCAGUAUCUCUGUGUGUCCACGUGUGUCCACAUGUGUCUGCAUGUGGGAUGCCGAGUACCUGUGUGUGUCUACGUGUGUCUGUCUAGGUGCAUGUGGUCUGGGGCUGCACAGAGGCUGGGUGGGGAUGCUGACAACCAUCCCAGACUGAGCCCUGUAGCCCCGAGAGGAGGGCGUCGGUAGCCUGUGGAGCAUGGCUGGGAGGGACCCCUGGAGCUGAAGCAGACAGGUCAGGGUCACCGUGACUGUCUCCCGCCCUGGUUCUGGGACCCUGGGCCUCAGGGUCUGGGCCACCUCUCCCUGGCCGGGUGGAGCAGCUCCAUGGCAACCCAGGUCCCCACCAUCCAGGACAGGGUCUGCCUCAGCCUCGGGUGGCCGAGCCAGGCAGGGUGAGGCCGAGAGGGCAGAGGAUGGGAAGCCCAGGUACCCACUUCCGCCGCCGGCCCCACCGGCCUCCCUCACCCCUCCCAACAACCCACGGCCUGGGAGUGUCGAUUCUGCGCCACUAACUCAUUGAUCGCCUUGCCCGGGUUAAUUAAUUAAUUAGGGGCAGCCAUGGAGCACAGUGGGCUGGGGCCAAGGAGGGACCCCAGCGCCG
rnacentral:lncRNA from 1 species